AUGGCUGCUCCAGUAGACACGUCCUUCUGCCUCGUCGGCCCCGUGCCGUUCAAGGACGUGCACCAGGACGACGACGACCAUGCGAUGCCCCAGGCCGAGGACGCGGACGUGCACGAGGACGACGAGGACGACCAUGUGAUCAUCAUCAGCCCGGGCUUGCCGUUGCGGCUUCACCAGGGCGUGUGGUUGUUCGACGAUCUUCGCCCCGCGUCCAUCUCCGUCCAGCGGCGCUUUGUCCUGCGGCCCGGCGACGUGCUCCUCGCGAGCCCUCCGAAAUGCGGCACCACCUGGCUCAAGGCGCUCGCCUUCGCCACCAUGGCGCGGGCCGCAUACCCGGUCUCCGACGCCAACCACCCGCUCCGCCGCCUCAACCCGCACGAGUGCGUCCCCUUCAUGGAGGCCCUGUUCAGCGAGGGCCAGCAGGCCAAGCUGGAGGCGCUGCCGUCGCCUAGGCUCCUGCAGACGCACAUGCACCACUCCAUGCUGCCUCACUCCCUCGCCGGCACCCCGGACUGCAAACUCGUCUUCAUCUGCAGGGAGCCCAAGGAUAUGCUGGUUUCCUCGUGGCACUUGUACAGAAGCACACGAGGCGUCACCUUAUCCUUCUCCGACAUGUUCGAGCUGGCGUGCGAGGGCAAGAUCGCGUAUGGCCCUCUCUGGGACCAGCUCCUAGGCUACUGGAACGCGAGCAAAGCAGCUCCGGAGAGGGUCAUGUUCCUGAGGUACGAGCAGAUGAUGGCCGAUCCGGUCAGCACCGACCGGGAGCUCGCGCGGUUCCUUGGUGUGCCCUUCACGCCGGCCGAAGAGGCGGCGGGAGUGCCGGCCGACAUCGCCGAGAUGUGCAGCAUCGGGGCGAUGAGAGGCCUGGACGCCAACAGAAGAGGAAGCACCGGGACCAUGUCUAUCCAGUUCCGGCAUGAAACCUUCUUCAGAAAAGGGGUCGUCGGGGACUGGGUGAACCAUAUGACGCCCGAGAUGGCCCGGCGCAUCGAUGCCAUCUUGGAGGAGAAGCUCCGUGGAUCGGGCCUUACCUUCUCGUCUUCUUGA
rnacentral:rRNA from 1 species